ACCAGGGGCGAAUGGUCUUGUAAUUGGAAUGAUGGUGACCCAAACCCUCACCAGAGUAGCAAUUGGAGGGCAAGUCUGGUGCCAGCAGCCGCGGUAAUUCCAGCUCCAAUAGCGUAUAUUAAACUUGUUGCAGUUAAAAAGCUCGUAGUUGUAUUUUUGCGUUAGCGGUUUGACCAUUUGGUUGGUUAUUUCGUUUUCGCUUUUGGGAAUUUCCCUUUUUACUUUGAGAAAAUUAGAGUGUUUCAAGCAGACUUUUGUCUUGAAUACUUCAGCAUGGAAUAAUAGAGUAGGACUUUGGUUCUAUUUUGUUGGUUAUUGAACCUUAGUAAUGGUUAAUAGGAACGGUUGGGGGCUC
rnacentral:rRNA from 1 species